rnacentral:rRNA from 1 species
AUGAACGCUAGCUACAGGCUUAACACAUGCAAGUCGCGGGGCAGCAUGAAGGAUGCUUGCAUCUUUUGAUGGCGACCGGCGCACGGGUGAGUAACGCGUAUCCAACCUGCCUGUUACCACGGCACAGCCCGUCGAAAGGCGGAUUAAUGCCGUAUGUGGUCCUUUGCGGGCAUCUAAUUAGGACUAAAGGUUCAGCGGUAACGGAUGGGGAUGCGUCCGAUUAGCUAGACGGCGGGGUAACGGCCCACCGUGGCUACGAUCGGUAGGGGUUCUGAGAGGAAGGUCCCCCACACUGGAACUGAGACACGGUCCAGACUCCUACGGGAGGCAGCAGUGAGGAAUAUUGGUCAAUGGGCGUAAGCCUGAACCAGCCAAGUAGCGUGAGGGAAGACUGCCCUAUGGGUUGUAAACCUCUUUUGUGCGGGGAUAAAGUGUGGGACGUGUCUCAUAUUGCAGGUACCGCACGAAUAAGGACCGGCUAAUUCCGUGCCAGCAGCCGCGGUAAUACGGAAGGUCCGGGCGUUAUCCGGAUUUAUUGGGUUUAAAGGGAGCGCAGGCCGUCCUUUAAGCGUGCUGUGAAAUGCCGCGGCUCAACCGUGGCACUGCAGCGCGAACUGGAGGACUUGAGUACGCACGAGGUAGGCGGAAUUCGUGGUGUAGCGGUGAAAUGCUUAGAUAUCACGAAGAACUCCGAUUGCGAAGGCAGCUUACCGGAGCGCAACUGACGCUGAGGCUCGAAAGCGCGGGUAUCGAACAGGAUUAGAUACCCUGGUAGUCCACGCCGUAAACGAUGAGUACUAAGUGUUGGGUGUCAAAGCUCAGUGCUGCAGUUAACGCAAUAAGUACUCCGCCUGAGUAGUACGUUCGCAAGAAUGAAACUCAAAGGAAUUGACGGGGGCCCGCACAAGCGGAGGAACAUGUGGUUUAAUUCGAUGAUACGCGAGGAACCUUACCCGGGCUUGAAUUGCAGGAGAACGAUCCAGAGAUGGUGAGGCCCUUCGGGGCUCCUGUGAAGGUGCUGCAUGGUUGUCGUCAGCUCGUGCCGUGAGGUGUCGGCUCAAGUGCCAUAACGAGCGCAACCCCUGUCCAUAGUUGCCAUCAGGUUAUGCUGGGCACUCUGUGGAGACUGCCGCCGUAAGGUGUGAGGAAGGUGGGGAUGACGUCAAAUCAGCACGGCCCUUACGUCCGGGGCUACACACGUGUUACAAUGGGGCAUACAGCGAGUUGGAUGUGCGCAAGUACGUCCGGAUCAAUAAAGUGCCUCUCAGUUCGGACUGGGGUCUGCAACCCGACCCCACGAAGCUGGAUUCGCUAGUAAUCGCGCAUCAGCCAUGGCGCGGUGAAUACGUUCCCGGGCCUUGUACACACCGCCCGUCACACUAUGAGAGUCAGAAACACCCGAAGCCGGUGAGGUAACCGCAAGGAGCCAGCCGUCGAAGGCGGAGCUGAUGAUUGGAGUG